rnacentral:lncRNA from 1 species
GGAGCUUCUUCAAUCUUAAUUAUUUUUUACUAUAAAUUAAUGUGAGAUUUCAUAAAUAUUAUGAAAAAAUUUAAUUGCUAAUCUAUUCUUUCCUCCUGGCAUCCAAUGUGAUCAGACAAAUCUUUCCUUCAUCAUCUCAACAAAAGAGGAACUUCAUGAAGUCACAAUCUACCUCAACAAUCUUAUAGGUUUGGUUCGUCCUUUCUAGCCCAUCGAGAGACAAGCAUGCCAGAGAAACUUAUUGGCUGUUGAAGUGGGGUGAUAAGUCUCAUGGAGAGGUGUACCUGUGCAUGCCACUUGUUUUUGAUUAGUUGAAAAUAGGAUGAUCGAAAGAUGA